AUUUUACUCUUUAAAGUGCAUAAUUCAGUAACUUUUUAGCAUAUUCAUAUAUACGUGCAAUGAUCACCACUAUUUAAUUUUAGAAUACUUUUGGAGAGAAAGUGGAGCAAGAUGACCAAACAGAAGACUCCACUGAUUAUCCUCCCCAAAGGAACACCAAAUUGAACAACUAACCACACAAGAAAAAGGACCUUCAUGAGAACCAAAAAUUAGGUUUUGUUUUUGAGACGGAGUCCUGCUCUGUUGCCCAGGCUGGAGUGCAGUGGCACGAUCUCAGCUCACUGUAUGUAGCCUCUGCUUCCUGGGUUCAAGCAAUUCUCCUGCCCCAGCCUCCCGAGUAGCUGGGACUACAGACAUGCACCACCAUGCCCAGGUAAUUUUUUUUGUAUUUUUAGUAGAGAU
rnacentral:lncRNA from 1 species